CCUACGGGUGGCAGCAGUGGGGAAUAUUGCACAAUGGGGGAAACCCUGAUGCAGCGACGCCGCGUGAGUGAAGAAGUAUUCCGGUAUGUAAAGCUCUAUCAGCAGGGAAGAAAAUGACGGUACCUGAUUAUGAAGCCCCGGCUAACUACGGGCCAGCAGCCGCGGUAAUACGGAGGGGGCAAGCGUUAUCCGGAUUUACUGGGGGUAAAGGGAGCGUAGUCGGCAGCACAAGUCUGGAGUGAAAAGCUGGGGCUUAAACCCGGGACUGCUUUGGAAACUGUGCCGCUAGAGUGCAGGAGAGGUAAGUGGAAUGCCUAGUGUAGCGGUGAAAUGCGUAGAUAUUGGGAGGAACACCAGUGGCGAAGGCAGCUUACUGGACUGUAACUGACGUUGAGGCACGAAAGCGUGGGGAGCGAACAGGAUUAGAUACCCCAGUAGUC
rnacentral:rRNA from 1 species